rnacentral:rRNA from 1 species
GAACUGAAACAUCUAAGUACCCCGAGGAAAAGAAAUCAACCGAGAUUCCCCCAGUAGCGGCGAGCGAACGGGGAGGAGCCCAGAGCCUGAAUCAGCAUGUGUGUUAGUGGAAGCGUCUGGAAAGGCGCGCGAUACAGGGUGACAGCCCCGUACACAAAAGCGCAUGUGCUGUGAGCUCGAUGAGUAGGGCGGGACACGUGGUAUCCUGUCUGAAUAUGGGGGGACCAUCCUCCAAGGCUAAAUACUCCUGACUGACCGAUAGUGAACCAGUACCGUGAGGGAAAGGCGAAAAGAACCCCGGCGAGGGGAGUGAAAAAGAACCUGAAACCGUGUACGUACAAGCAGUGGGAGCCCCACCACUAAGCCAGUGGUGAACUCCACAUCCGCAUCCUUUGCUGAGGAUACGGUUAACGGAGCGAAAGCGACGUUCAACCGCAAAACAAGCAGAGGGGGCUUAGUGGUGGGGUGACUGCGUACCUUUUGUAUAAUGGGUCAGCGACUUAUAUUCUGUAGCAAGGUUAACCGAAUAGGGGAGCCGGAGGGAAACCGAGUCUUAAUUGGGCGUUAAGUUGCAGGGUAUAGACCCGAAACCCGGUGAUCUAGCCAUGGGCAGGUUGAAGGUUGGGUAACACUAACUGGAGGACCGAACCGACUAAUGUUGAAAAAUUAGCGGAUGACCUGUGGCUGGGGGUGAAAGGCCAAUCAAACCGGGAGAUAGCUGGUUCUCCCCGAAAGCUAUUUAGGUAGCGCCUCGUGAAUUCAUCUCCGGGGGUAGAGCACUGUUUCGGCUAGGGGGCCAUCCCGGCUUACCAACCCGAUGCAAACUGCGAAUACCGGAGAAUGUUAUCACGGGAGACACACGGCGGGUGCUAACGUCCGUCGUGAAGAGGGAAACAACCCAGACCGCCAGCUAAGGUCCCAAAGUCAUGGUUAAGUGGGAAACGAUGUGGGAAGGCCCAGACAGCCAGGAUGUUGGCUUAGAAGCAGCCAUCAUUUAAAGAAAGCGUAAUAGCUCACUGGUCGAGUCGGCCUGCGCGGAAGAUGUAACGGGGCUAAACCAUGCACCGAAGCUGCGGCAGCGAACGUAUCACCCAAGACAACUUUACGGAGUUGACGAUUGACGGAGCGAAGCGACGUCAAAGCGUUCAUUAAAGUCGAGUUGGCUUAGGGAUACGUUCGUUGGGUAGGGGAGCGUUCUGUAAGCCUGUGAAGGUGUGUCGUGAGGCAUGCUGGAGGUAUCAGAAGUGCGAAUGCUGACAUAAGUAACGAUAAAGCGGGUGAAAAGCCCGCUCGCCGGAAGACCAAGGGUUCCUGUCCAACGUUAAUCGGGGCAGGGUGAGUCGACCCCUAAGGCGAGGCCGAAAGGCGUAGUCGAUGGGAAACGGGUUAAUAUUCCCGUACUUGGUGUUACUGCGAAGGGGGGACGGAGAAGGCUAUGUUGGCCGGGCGACGGUUGUCCCGGUUUAAGCGUGUAGGUGUGUGUUCCAGGUAAAUCCGGUUCACUUUAACACUGAGGCGUGACGACGAGGCACUACGGUGCUGAAGCAACAAAUGCCCUGCUUCCAGGAAAAGCCUCUAAGCAUCAGGUAACAC